CCAGACUCCUACGGGAGGCAGCAGUGAGGAAUAUUGGUCAAUGGGCGGGAGCCUGAACCAGCCAAGUCGCGUGAGGGAAGACGGUCCUAUGGAUUGUAAACCUCUUUAGGCGGGGAGCAAUGCCGGGCACGCGUGUCCGGAGGGAGAGUACCCGCAGAAUAAGCAUCGGCUAACUCCGUGCCAGCAGCCGCGGUAAUACGGAGGAUGCGAGCGUUAUCCGGAUUUAUUGGGUUUAAAGGGUGCGUAGGCGGAUCGUUAAGUCAGUGGUCAAAUUGAGGGGCUCAACCCCUUCCCGUCAUUGAAACUGGCGCUCUUGAGUGGAAGAGAAGUAUGCGGAAUGCGUGGUGUAGCGGUGAAAUGCAUAGAUAUCACGCAGAACCCCGAUUGCGAAGGCAGCAUGCCGGCUUCCGACUGACGCUGAAGCACGAAAGCGUGGGGAUCGAACAGGAUUAGAUACCCGGGUA
rnacentral:rRNA from 1 species